rnacentral:rRNA from 31 species
AAAAUGACUCUCGGCAACGGAUAUCUCGGCUCUCGCAUCGAUGAAGAACGUAGCGAAAUGCGAUACUUGGUGUGAAUUGCAGAAUCCCGUGAACCAUCGAGUCUUUGAACGCAAGUUGCGCCCCAAGCCUUUAGGCCGAGGGCACGCCUGCCUGGGUGUCACACA